ACUACUACUCUAAAGCCCCAUCCCCAUAUAUCGAUCUCUUCUUCUUCUCAUGCACUGAGCUGAUGAGUAGUCCACCAGUAGUUUCACAAAUUUCAAAGAUUGUUUGAUCAGUAGCUUUCUUUACUUCAAAUACACGCUAUAUACAUAUCUAAUCUUCUCUCUCUAGAUCUAUAUACAGCGGUGAAAAAGUUGGUGGUGCCAUUUUUUAGCCUAGAUAUUCAUUCAUCUUAAUUUCUCC
rnacentral:lncRNA from 1 species